rnacentral:rRNA from 1 species
UUAAGCGACUAAGCGUACACGGUGGAUGCCCUGGCAGUCAGAGGCGAUGAAGGACGUGCUAAUCUGCGAUAAGCGUCGGUAAGGUGAUAUGAACCGUUAUAACCGGCGAUUUCCGAAUGGGGAAACCCAGUGUGAUUCGUCACACUAUCAUUAACUGAAUCCAUAGGUUAAUGAGGCGAACCGGGGGAACUGAAACAUCUAAGUACCCCGAGGAAAAGAAAUCAACCGAGAUUCCCCCAGUAGCGGCGAGCGAACGGGGAGCAGCCCAGAGCCUGAAUCAGUGUGUGUGUUAGUGGAAGCGUCUGGAAAGGCGCGCGAUACAGGGUGACAGCCCCGUACACAAAAAUGCACAUAUUGUGAGCUCGAUGAGUAGGGCGGGACACGUGGUAUCCUGUCUGAAUAUGGGGGGACCAUCCUCCAAGGCUAAAUACUCCUGACUGACCGAUAGUGAACCAGUACCGUGAGGGAAAGGCGAAAAGAACCCCGGCGAGGGGAGUGAAAAAGAACCUGAAACCGUGUACGUACAAGCAGUGGGAGCCUCUUUUAUGGGGUGACUGCGUACCUUUUGUAUAAUGGGUCAGCGACUUAUAUUCUGUAGCAAGGUUAACCGAAUAGGGGAGCCGAAGGGAAACCGAGUCUUAACUGGGCGUUAAGUUGCAGGGUAUAGACCCGAAACCCGGUGAUCUAGCCAUGGGCAGGUUGAAGGUUGGGUAACACUAACUGGAGGACCGAACCGACUAAUGUUGAAAAAUUAGCGGAUGACUUGUGGCUGGG